CUUAAUAUGAAAUCGGUAUUCUCCAAGCAAAACAGCCACAAAUUUCAACCGCAGCCUCGGCGUACGCUUACAACUUUUAGUGUCAAACGAAAAGCUACUAUUUCGUGGCUGUAGCCAAGGAUUUUCAGUCCAUUUAUAUUGUGUUUAGUUUGUUUUAGUGAUAUUUUAAGUUGGAUUACUCUAUAAAAAUGGCCGCAAGAGUAUUGUGUAUGUUGUACCUUCUAGAAGAAGCUAAAAGGCUAGACGAUUUACACAAAAGACGUCAAAGUCGCAGUAUA